AGCACUUUUAAGAUCGGUCAUAAAAUAACCGAUCUUAAAAGUACUUUUAAGAUCGGUUAAAAUUUAACCGAUCUUAAAAGUGUU
rnacentral:miRNA from 1 species